CGCCAGUGUUGUUUAGACCCUAAGUUUAUAGGGAUAGUCUAACUCUCUGGAGGGUGUGGGAUACGCUUAAAUAACCUGUGUGCCUUGGGUCACCGUGGGAUUAAGCCAUCAUGGCAGAUACCCACGCUAAACCCUUAACAUAAUAUACUCUAAACUUUGUGUAUUAUUAAUUAGCAUCAAAUUCGAACUCGAUCUGUUAGCUGGAUGUCUUAAAAAAUCUCUCUUUGCCGUAAAAAUAACGUUAUCGUCUACGAAUUCGACAAAACCAUUGGAAGGUAUUGCAUGCAAAUUAAUAUUAAAAGUGGCCUAAAUCGAUCGGUACAACAAAAGAACAAAUUAUUAAUUUUUUUUUUUUUUUCGCUUUUGCCCAUUAAAUUUGCUCUAACUGUACAAUAAAAAUAAAUAUUUAUAAAUUCUAAUUUUAAAAUGAAGAUGACUGGCACAGAAAAUUCGCCUAAAGCCAAAUAUGAUUUUCUUACAUUGGACUUUACUUACUUUUGCUUUUAUUGAUAUGUUAUUUUAUAUGAAAUUUAUUUACAUCAUUUUGUAUAAAAUUUUCGAGUAGCAGAGACAUUUCAGCACCUGACCUCCAAACCUAUAUGUUAUAUACGUUGUAGGUAAAUUUUGAGUUUGCAAUAUGAACACCUUUCCUUUUCACAUUUUUUUUUUUUUUUUGCUUGCUGUUCUCACUGCACGACGGCUUAUUUCGCUGAAAUCGAUUCUUAUAAGUUUGCGCAGAUAAAACAAAAUACGAGGUAUAUAACAUACUUGUGCCCGCGCUUUUUUCGAUCCUUUUCUGAUAUGCGUUUUUUUUGGCACAGCCUGGAGCUUCACCAGUGAUGCGUUCGCUAUCAUCUCCAUCGUUUCAGAGGUAUUCUCGGUUUCAGAAUUAGGAAAAGGUCGCAGGAAGCCAA